rnacentral:lncRNA from 1 species
UGAAAACUUUAAGUUUUAAUGAUAAGGACAAAAUAAAGGGUAAAGUGAAUAGUAUCAGGAUUGACUUUUUAGUGUAAAAAUGUGAUUUUUCGUUAAAGUGAACAGUACCGGUGCUUUUCGUUAAAGUUCCCUAUAUUUAAUUAUGGUGGCCCAAAAUCCUUCCCAAACGUAAUUAGAGGACUUGUCAACGCUAAUGUGAGAUUUGUGCCUUCAAUUAUGGUGUGAAGUGGCGUGGACAAUCGGUCACGUGACAUAGGAGGAAGGAAACACGUGUGUUCCAAGUGGCAAUUGUUUUUGGCCAGCAAUGUUGACUCUGAGAGGGGCAUUUAAGUAAUUCAAAUCAAAGUAAAGGUGGUAGUUGAUUCCAUUCUUCAACUGUUGGGUAACAGGUAAGGUUUUCCCGUGACUCUGAUUAUAAAGCAGAGAACCGUUAAAAUAAUGAAGGAAAAAGGGGCAUAGACUCCUUUUGGUAAGUAACCGACACCACAUCAUCUUUAAAAUAAAAAAAUUGAUAUUAAAUAGAUGACGUUUUACGGUAAUGGUAUUAAAAAAAAAAUGUUUAUGCAUGAUUUGAU